UACGUAGGGUCCGAGCGUUGUCCGGAAUUACUGGGCGUAAAGCGUGCGCAGGCGGCUUUCCAAGCGCCACGUGAAAGCCCCGGGCCCAACCCGGGAGGGUCGUGGCGAACUGGGAGGCUUGAGGCCGGUAGAGGUGGGUGGAACUCCUGGUGGAGUGGUGAAAUGCGUAGAGAUCCGGAGGAACACCAAAGGCGAAGGCAGUGUCCUGGGGAGUACCUGACGCUCAGGUGCGAAAGCCAGGGGAGCGAACGGG
rnacentral:rRNA from 1 species